GGGCCCGGCAUUCAAACUCAAACUGAAAAACAGCAGCAAAGUAUGACAAUACAGGACGGAAAAAAGGAUUUCCUUAAGGCUGCCCUAGCCUAGUCUCUCUUCAACAGCCCACACCUCCAUCCAAGUAAACAUUGGAAUACAGCUUGCAUUUUUAACAAGAGCUCUAAAUUACCAAUUUCAACCUUCCAAAUAGCUACCAACCUACAUGCUCUGGAAAUGUGAAAAAGGAUGCUAGGCAAAUGGAAUCCCCAAGUAUUUUCUACAGUGACUGAACACUUCUCCUGGUAAUGUACAACCAGGCAGAAAACCCAGAGAGGAGUUUUAUGAAGACUGAAUAUGGAUGGAAAAGAUGCAAGUCUUUGCUACAAUCUAGUGGUGAGCUGCAUUUCCUGAGUCUCAGCCGACUUCCCAGCAGGAACUCUAGUCUGAUGAAGAAUCAGCAACAGGAAGCCCUCACUGAGAGACACACUGGUAUCAUUCACUGAGUGGAGAUAGUGAAAGAGCAACAUAUUUCCAAAGGCAAUUCAGAUUGUGUUAAUAAUCUAGGCUUACACAGUAAAUACAGAUUUAACUUCCCAUGGCAGAAGCCUGG